UACAAGAGUAGCUUAUGGUAGAAAAUAACUGAUAUUUACCUAUACUCUCUCUCUCGUACCAAAGUCUUGGCAAACAAUAUCACCUAAGACCACAUCUGCGGACAUUUCUGAAAUCUCUGAGACUUCACCAAAUCCAAGAUGUGAAGUGCCUAUCCUCCAGGCCCAUCAAGAUGCCUCACCCUACAGCUGGACGGAUUCUCCUAAGGCAACCUGAAGACACAGCACAAGAAUUGCACACCGCCUGCAACUAGAACCCAGCUGCUGGAGGACUGGUGCUUUAUCUUGUUCCCAGGUGUAAUCUCGCAGCUUUGACUAGCACCUGGAAUAUAAUAGGACAAUGAGCCCUCAGGAAAUCUUGGAGACUGACAGUAUCCUUGUGUUCACCACAAUUGUGCUUCCCUCAGCUAAGCCCCUUGUUGGUUCUUGCAGCCCCAGGGUCCUGCAAAUUGGAGAGGUACUUCUCCUCUGACCAGUGACACAGAUUCCUCUCCGGAAUCUUGGCGAGGUUGAAUUCACCAUGAGUUUAAAUUUUUAUUAGGUUCCUGUGGUAUAAUAUUUUUUGAAAUUAGUCUCUGUCCCAGUAUCUGCUACAAUAAUGCUCCUAAAGCCUUCCUGAGUGAUGAGAGUGCCUUUUGUAUUUUAUUGAGAUAACUCAUGGGAGGAGGGAAACUACAUAGCUUUGAGACAGGGGCUGCUUGCCAGAAAGGCCAAGCUGGUAUCUGAGGACUGGAAUCUUCAGCCCUACUUUUUUACCUCCCCUGGAAAGGACAGAAGCUGGAGAUUGAGUUAGGUCACAGUGGUCAAAGGUUCAAUUAAUCACAUCUCUAAAAACUUCUACAGGCUGUGAGUGUAUAGAUUGCUUUGGGUAGUAUAGACAUUUUAACAGUAUUUGUUCUUCCAGUCCAUGAGCAUGGAACGUUUUUCCAUUUAUUGAUGUCUUUUUCCAUUUCAUUCAUAAGUUUCCUAUAAUUUUCAGCAUACAGAUCUUUUAUCCCUUUGGUUAGGUUUGUUCCUAGGUAUCUUAUGGCUUUUGGAGCAAAUAUAAAUGGGAAAGAUUCCUGAUUUCUCUCGCUGCUUCAUAAUUGGUGUAUAGAAAUGCAACCAAUUUCUUUAUGUUGAUUGUAUAUCCUGUGACUUUGCUGAAUUCAUGUAUCAGUUCUAGCAGAUCUUUGGUGGAAUCUUUCGGGUUUUCCACGUGAAGUAUCAUGCCAUCUGUGAAGAAUGAAAGUGUUACUUUCUGCUUGCCAAUUUUUGUGCCUUUCGUUUCUUUUUGUUGUCUGAUCACUGAAGCUAGGACUUCAAGUACUAUGCUGAACAACAGUGGUGAGAGUGGACAUCCUUGUCGUGUCCUACCAAAAUAAUGCCAGUAUUCUUCACCGAGCUAGGACCAACAAUUCUAAAAUGUGUUUGGAGCCAGAGAAGACCCUAAAUAGCCAAAGUGAUGUUGAAAAAGAAAACCAAUGCUGGACGCAUCGCAAUUCCAGACCUCCAGCUGUCUUACAAAGCUGUAAUCAUCAAGAAAGUAUGGUGCUGACAUAAAAACUUCAAACGGUGGAGUUCUGGGAAGCUUCUGUGUUGGUGAACACACGGAUGUGCUAGGAGAACGGAGCAUCCUAAAAGGGCAUUAAAACUCUAGCCUGCACCCGUCCCCCAAUGCCUUGUCUGAUGUACCUCUAUCUGACUGUCUUUAUGUUGUAUCCUUUACAGUA